GUUUGUAUGGAUUGAUGAGGAGAAGCAGAGAGUUGAUGUCGAACAGAACACAUUCCAGCGCUGUAGACAGAGAAGAAGGGAAACGAGCAGGGGGAAACACACAGCUGCCCUCUGUGAUAAGAAAAGGAGCAGGUGAAGCGGUCAAGACUGUUACAAGAUAGAGGAGUUACAAGAUCCACACCUUUAUGCAGGACGAUUAUCGUCACUGCUGGAGAGAAAUGAUAUCAGCCCAGAGCUAGGCUCACCUCGCCCUGUAUGUGUCUUCACACCACAUCUGCACAGCUCUCAGCCUGGGCCCGGGUGGAGAUUGAGGUCCUUGGUGGACGCCUGCUUGCACUGCACUGUGGAUGACUAGUUCAGACUUUGCCACUGUUGCGGCUUUGCUGCAGUCAUUUGAAGGUAGCCGGCUCUAAGAAUGAGAUAUUAGUUUUGAGACGAAAGUGGGUAGAAAUUAUAAAGACUCUCAGGGAACGUAUUUUUCCUGGCCCAGAGACAAAGCUAUCCAAACAAGAAGAAUAACCUUUUGUUAUGGCUUUAUAUUGUAUUGAAGAGGUUAGUCUUUGUCACAGUGAGAAGUGGGCUGGUCAUUGCUAUCAGUAAGAAGACUGAUUACCCUCUCCAUCUCCCCACCACAA